GAGGGAAGGGAGAUUAAAGGCGGGAGGCGGAGCCGCGGGGCUGCGGGGGCGCGGCUGGCGGUGGCGGGAGGACUCGUGGGCGGUGCCGCAGCCCCUGCCGCCUGCCUCAGAGCUCUGCGGGGCCCGGAGCUGCUCUGCUCGCCUAGUACUCCGUUCUGGCACCCAGCGGCCCGCCGCGCGGAGAGGUUCCGCAGAGUUUGCCCCGGAGCGUGGGCAAGUUUCUUCCCUAGCCCGCUCUGCCGGAGCAGUACCUGCAAAGAGCCGGGGACCGAUGCCAAGGUUUCUCUGUGGAAUUGUCUGAAGAUUGGAAGUCCAUGAAGACAUAAACCUUGCGGUCUCCGGAUUCAGACAUGAAGAGAAACGCAGCCGUCUGAAAUGGUCAUGAACGCCAAACAAGUCUUCCUUUCGGUCCUCCUGUUUGGGACAGCAGGCCUUCUGCUCUUCAUGUAUUUGCAAGUCUGUAUUGAAGAACAACAUACAGGUAACAU